rnacentral:rRNA from 2 species
CACCGCGGUUAUACGAGAGGCCCUAGUUGAUAGCCGUCGGCGUAAAGAGUGGUUAAGGAAUUUAAAUUUAUAAAGUUGAAUAACCCUUUAGCUGUUAUACGCACCUUGGGCUAUGAAAUUCUUCCGCGAAAGCAGCUUUAUGCCCCCUGAACCCACGACAGUUAUGACA